rnacentral:rRNA from 1 species
GACGAACGCUGGCGGCGUGCUUAAUACAUGCAAGUCGAACGGAAAGGCCCUGCUCUUGUUGGUUGCUCGUUUGGCGAACGCGUGAGAAACACGCGAGUAACCUGCCCCUGUAUGUGGGGUAAAUUUUGGAAAAUGGGGCUAAUAUCCGGUAUGAUCUCCUGCUGCGUGGUGGGGGUUGGAAAGUUACGGCGGUUGUGGAUGGUCUCGCGGCUUAUCCGCUUGAUGGUGGGGUAGUGGCUGACGAAGGCUUUGAAGGGUAGCCGGCCUGAGAGGGUGAACGGGCACAUGGGGACUGAGAGACGGCGCAGAAUCCUACGGGAGGCAGCAGGGGGGAGUAUUGCGGAAUGGGGGGAAGCGUGAUGCAGCAACGUCGCGUGCGUGAUGACGGCUUACGGGGUGUAAACAGCUUUCGAAGGUAACGAAGAGUGAGUGACGGUAAUGGGUAAAGAAGCACCGGCUAACUACGUG